rnacentral:rRNA from 1 species
GACGAACGCUGGCGGCGUGCUUAACACAUGCAAGUCGAACGGUAAGGCCCUUCGGGGUACACGAGUGGCGAACGGGUGAGUAACACGUGGGUGAUCUGCCCUGCACUUCGGGAUAAGCCUGGGAAACUGGGUCUAAUACCGGAUAGGACCACUGCCUGCAUGGGUGGUGGUGGAAAGCUUUUGCGGUGUGGGAUGGGCCCGCGGCCUAUCAGCUUGGUGGUGGGGUGAUGGGCUACCAAGGCGACGACGGGUAGCCGGCCUGAGAGGGUGACCGUCCACAGUGGGACUGAGAUACGGCCCAGAGUCCUACGGGGGGCAGCAGUGGGGAAUAUUGCGCAAUGGGCGCAAGCCUGAUGCAGGGACGCCGCGUGAGGGAUGACGGCCUUCGGGUUGUAAACCUCUUUCAGCACCGACGAAGCGCGAGUGACGGUAGGUGCAGAAGAAGGACCGGCCAACUACGUGCCAGCAGCCGCCGUAA